rnacentral:rRNA from 1 species
CACGUAGGGCGCAAGCGUCGUCCGGAAUUAUUGGGCGUAAAGAGCUCGUAGGCGGCUUGUCACGUCUGCUGUGAAAUCCCGGGGCUCAACCCCGGGCGUGCAGUGGAUACGGGCUGGCUAGAGGCAGGCAGGGGAGAACGGAAUUCCCGGUGUAGCGGUGAAAUGCGCAGAUAUCGGGAGGAACACCGGUGGCGAAGGCGGUUCUCUGGGCCUGUACUGACGCUGAGGAGCGAAAGCGUGGGGAGCGAACAGG